rnacentral:ncRNA from 1 species
ACCACUUUGCUUUGAUGGAAAUUUUCAAUCUUGUUUUGACCCGACAUGGGAACUUUGUAUUCUCGCCAGCGGGGAAUGUUAGGCAACACCUGCAAGGGUAGCCUAGCCAGACAGGGUAAUUGUGGCUAAACCAGGUGCCAGCAGCCGCGGUCAUACCUGAACAACCCGAAAAUGAAACGACUCUUUUAGCGCCCUAACAUCCUUAUGCUACCAGUGAAAUGGAGCUAAUGCAGACACCUUAUUUAGCGAGCCCAAAGAGUGAAAUUCAAACAAUAAACUAGGAUUAGAGACCCUACUAUACUGAGCCACAUUUUACCGAGUCAAGCAGUAAUGUCCUUAGACAUAAACUUAAACAGCAUGGCGGUAAUUAAGAAUGUCAGGGAAACUUGUCCGAUAAAUGAUACCCCACAAGAGGUCCGACACCUCCUAAAAGUUUGUAUAUCGCCGUCCUUGGCAUGGUUUGAGACCAGGUCAACACCUAAUCCUAGGCAAAGACAGGCCUUUUUGCAGCCUACGGAGGUGUACGAGAUGAGUUACAAUCCUUAAUUUGGUCGGAUUCGGGCCCUAACACACCCAUAGAAGUCGGACUUGAUAGUAAAAGAAAUAGAGAAUAUUCUUUGAAAUGAAAUCUUAAUUGUGCACAAAUCGCCCGUCACUCUCGUUGAAAAAUGAGAUAAGUCGUAACAUAGUAGGGGUAGUGGAAGCUGCUCCU